GAUGAACGCUGGCGGCGUGCCUAAUACAUGCAAGUCGAGCGAACAGACGAGGAGCUUGCUCCUCUAAUGUUAGCGGCGGACGGGUGAGUAACACGUGGAUAACCUACCUAUAAGACUGGGAUAACUUCGGGAAACCGGAGCUAAUACCGGAUAAUAUAUUGAACCGCAUGGUUCAAUAGUGAAAGACGGUCUUGCUGUCACUUAUAGAUGGAUCCGCGCCGCAUUAGCUAGUUGGUAAGGUAACGGCUUACCAAGGCAACGAUGCGUAGCCGACCUGAGAGGGUGAUCGGCCACACUGGAACUGAGACACGGUCCAGACUCCUACGGGAGGCAGCAGUAGGGAAUCUUCCGCAAAGGGCGAAAGCCUGACGGAGCAACGCCGCGUGAGUGAUGAAGGUCUUCGGAUCGUAAAACUCUGUUAUUAGGGAAGAACAAAUGUGUAAGUAACUAUGCACGUCUUGACGGUACCUAAUCAGAAAGCCACGGCUAACUACGUG
rnacentral:rRNA from 1 species